rnacentral:rRNA from 1 species
GACGAACGCUGGCGGCGUGCUUAACACAUGCAAGUCGAACGGAAAGGCCCUGCUUUUGUGGGGUGCUCGAGUGGCGAACGGGUGAGUAACACGUGAGUAACCUGCCCUUGACUUUGGGAUAACUUCAGGAAAAUGGGGCUAAUACAGGAUAGGAGCUCCUGAUGCAUGGUGGGGGUUGGAAAGAUUCGGCGGUUGGGGCUGGACUCGCGGCUUAUGCGCUUGUUGGUGGGGUAGUGGCUUACCAAGGCUUUGACGGGUAGCCGGCCUGAGAGGGUGACCGGCCACAUGAGGACUGAGAUACGGCGCAGACUGCUACGGGAGGCAGCAGUGGGGAAUAUUGCACAAUGGGCGGGAGCCUGAUGCAGCAGCGCCGCGUGCGGGAUGACGUCCUUCGGGUGGUAAACCGCUUUCGCAUGUAACGAAGCGUGAGUGACGGUAAUGGGUAAAGAAGCACCGGCUAACUACGUG